rnacentral:lncRNA from 1 species
ACACCCUCUGAGUCUUUGGAAUUUUUGUUGUACACUGUGUGUGCGAAUACGCUCCACGGGACUUCUGUCUAGGAUGACCCAGUGUGCAGUUACGCUCAUGAUUCUAGAUUUGUCACACGCGUUAGGUAGGGUUGGACCACAAAUUAAGCCAGAAUAGCUCUGCUACCAGUACGCUAACCCUCCCCGGCUCGAGUUGUCCACUCGAGUAAAGCAAGUCUAGACACCUUCC